rnacentral:rRNA from 1 species
UACGAAGGGGGCUAGCGUUGCUCGGAAUUACUGGGCGUAAAGCGCACGUAGGCGGCUUCUUAAGUCGGUGGUGAAAUCCUGGAGCUCAACUCCAGAACUACCUUCGAUACUGGGAAGCUCGAGUCCGGGAGAGGUGAGUGGAACUGCGAGUGUAGAGGUGAAAUUCGUAGAUAUUCGCAAGAACACCAGUGGCGAAGGCGGCUCACUGGCCCGGUACUGACGCUGAGGUGCGAAAGCGUGGGGAGCAAACAGG